rnacentral:rRNA from 1 species
UUUGUCCUACGGGGGGCAGCAGUGAGGAAUAUUGGUCAAUGGCCGUAAGGCUGAACCAGCCAAGUAGCGUGAGGGAAGACGGCCCUAUGGGUUGUAAACCUCUUUUAUGCGGGGAUAAAGGUGUCCACGUGUGGAUGUUUGCAGGUACCGCAUGAAUAAGGAACGGCUAAUUCCGUGCCAGCAGCCGCGGUAAUACGGAAGGUCCGGGCGUUAUCCGGAUUUAUUGGGUUUAAAGGGAGCGUAGGCCGGCUUUUAAGUCAGCUGUGAAAGUCCGCGGCUCAACCGUGGAAUUGCAGUUGAAACUG